AUUGAACGCUGGCGGCAUGCCUUACACAUGCAAGUCGAACGGCAGCGCGGACUUCGGUCUGGCGGCGAGUGGCGAACGGGUGAGUAAUACAUCGGAACGUACCCUGUUGUGGGGGAUAACUAGUCGAAAGAUUAGCUAAUACCGCAUACGACCUGAGGGUGAAAGUGGGGGACCGCAAGGCCUCACGCAGCAGGAGCGGCCGAUGUCUGAUUAGCUAGUUGGUGGGGUAAAGGCCCACCAAGGCGACGAUCAGUAGCUGGUCUGAGAGGACGAUCAGCCACACUGGGACUGAGACACGGCCCAGACUCCUACGGGAGGCAGCAGUGGGGAAUUUUGGACAAUGGGGGCAACCCUGAUCCAGCAACGCCGCGUGUGUGAAGAAGGCCUUCGGGUUGUAAAGCACUUUUGUCCGGAAAGAAAUCGCGCUGGUUAAUACCUGGCGUGGAUGACGGUACCGGAAGAAUAAGCACCGGCUAACUACGUG
rnacentral:rRNA from 1 species